UAAUUGAAGAGUUUGAUCAUGGCUCAGAUUGAACGCUGGCGGCAGGCCUAACACAUGCAAGUCGAGCGGUAACAGGGGAAGCUUGCUUCUCGCUGACGAGCGGCGGACGGGUGAGUAAUGUAUGGGGAUCUGCCCGAUAGAGGGGGAUAACUACUGGAAACGGUAGCUAAUACCGCAUAAUCUCUCAGGAGCAAAGCAGGGGAACUUCGGUCCUUGCGCUAUCGGAUGAACCCAUAUGGGAUUAGCUAGUAGGUGGGGUAAUGGCUCACCUAGGCGACGAUCCCUAGCUGGUCUGAGAGGAUGAUCAGCCACACUGGGACUGAGACACGGCCCAGACUCCUACGGGAGGCAGCAGUGGGGAAUAUUGCACAAUGGGCGCAAGCCUGAUGCAGCCAUGCCGCGUGUAUGAAGAAGGCCCUAGGGUUGUAAAGUACUUUCAGUCGGGAGGAAGGCGUUGAUGCUAAUAUCAUCA
rnacentral:rRNA from 1 species